UACGUAGGGGGCAAGCGUUGUCCGGAUUCAUUGGGCGUAAAGAGCGUGUAGGCGGCCAGGUAGGUCGGUUGUGAAAACUGGAGGCUCAACCUUCAGAGGUCGACCGAAACCAUCUGGCUAGAGUCCGGGAGAGGAGAGUGGAAUUCCUGGUGUAGCGGUGAAAUGGGCAGAUAUCAGGAAGAACACCCGUGGCGAAAGCGGCUCUCUGGAACGGUACUGACGCUGAGACGCGAAAGCGUGGGGAGCGAACAGG
rnacentral:rRNA from 1 species